rfam:Pan troglodytes isolate Yerkes chimp pedigree #C0471 (Clint) chromosome 13, whole genome shotgun sequence.
GCUGGGUGUGGUGGUGCACGCCUGUAGUCCCAGCUACUUGGGAGGCUGAGAUGGGAGGAUCACUUGAGUCUGGGAGGUGGAGGUUGCAGUGAGCCAAGAUCGUACCACUGCACUCUAGCCUGGGCGACAGAGUGAGACCCUGUCUCUG